UCUCCGUUGGUGAACCAGCGGAGGGAUCAUUACCGAAGUUACCUUCAAAACCCACUGUGAACCUUACCUCUUGCCGCGUUGUCUCGGCGGGAGGCGGUGUGCGUCGCGCGCCCUAGCGGGCCGCGCCGCCCCCGUCCCCGCCGGCAGCGCCAAACUCUAAAUGCACAGCGGACUGUACGUUCUGAUUUACAAAAAAAAACAAGUUAAAACUUUCAACAACGGAUCUCUUGGUUCU
rnacentral:misc_RNA from 1 species